UACGGGGGGGGCAAGCGUUGUUCGGAAUUACUGGGCGUAAAGGGCUCGUAGGCGGCCAACUAAGUCAGACGUGAAAUCCCCAGGCUUAACCUGGGAACUGCGUCUGAUACUGGAUGGCUUGAAUCCGGGAGAGGGAUGCAGAAUUCCAGGUGUAGCGGUGAAAUGCGUAGAUAUCUGGAGGAAUACCGGUGGCGAAGGCGGCAUCCUGGACCGACACUGACACUGAGGAGCGAAAGCCAGGGGAGCAAACGGG
rnacentral:rRNA from 1 species